rnacentral:lncRNA from 1 species
AAAACUUCAAACGUUGAAUUGAAGGUCACACAAUACUGUAAAGGUAGGUGGUUGCUAUGCUAAAAUUCAAACCCAAACUCCAAAUAUUGUCGAAUUUAUAGUCAAAUUACAAAGAUAAAAGAUGGGUUUCGUGCAAAAUUAACCAUGAAAAUGGCUUGAAGCAUUCAUGAAUCAUGAGACCAUUACCAGGAAGUAAAGCACCAAAAUUAAGCAUUCAGCAAAAGAUAGCUUACUAUAAAUGGCUAAAGCAUCCGUUAAGAGACCACACUCUAAGUCUGAAAACCAACACAAAACAAGGGUUCUUUUACUUUUAUUCACAAACUUCCUAGUUCACAUACAAAGUUUGCUCCUAGGCCAUUGCAUCUCCACUCAAUGUAUUAUUCCGCUCAC